GCCCGGCAGCAGCGCCGCGGCCGCGCGAGGCGUUUGGUGUCGGCUGCGGGCCGUCCCGCCAGGGCCCUCUGACGUGCUGCGUGUGCACAGGUGGCUGCGCGGUGCCCGUCAGUGCGCCGCCCGUGGCGGGGUCUGUGUUCGGGGACGGGUGUGUUUGUGGCUGCAGUUGCCGCAGUUCGUCCCGGCCCUCCAGACCUCCCCAGCCCCACUCUCGGCCUCGUGGUCCUGGCACGACCGCUGCUUCUGCCUCGGAUGCUUCCUCUGGGCUCCGCCCCCAGCACGUCCACGUCACGCCUGCUGCCUUAGUCCUGCAGAAAUCCUGCGCUUUGGAUUUGUGUCACCUUCUGUAAGUUGAAAGCUUCUGGACCAACUGCGGCAGUGAGAUGGAGUCAGAAGAGGAGGUAUUGCCAUCAGAGAGUCAGCAAAGGUGGUUGACCAAGCCCAAAGGAGGGUGCUGAGGGGAGUUGAUGACCUGGACUUUUUCAUAGGGGAUGAAGCCAUAGAUAAACCCACGUAUGCCACAAAGUGGCCAAUAAGACAUGGAAUAAUUGAAGACUGAGAUCUAAUGGAGAGGUUCAUGGAACAAGUUAUUUUUAAUUUUCCCUGAGCUGAACCUGAGGGCCAUCACUUUUUGAUGAAACCUUCCUAGCAGAUUUGCCCUGUCUGUCCGUGCCCAGUGUGGGCCCUAGAGGGGAACAAAAUUACUUUGGUACAUUUUGAUGAGUCAAGAUUCUCUCCUGUUGCUGGUGAGGGGACCACAUCUCAUCACCUGGCCCCAAGAGGUGGAAGGUUAGGUAAUUGGAAGCUGCAUCAAACACAUCCCUAUUGCAGGUAGAGAUAUGUAUUUCAUUCAACAGCUGCCAAGGGAGAGGGAGGUGGGAAUCCCUCCUGAGCAACCACUGGAGACCGCAAAGGCCAUUAAGGAGAAGUACUGUCACAUUUGCCCCAAUAUAGUCAAGAAGUUUGCCAAGUAUGACGUGGAUCAGCGGAAGUGGAUCAAACAGCAAACAGGGAACAAUGCCAUAAGCCAGAAGAAAAUCAUUAUCGAUGUUGGCUAGGAAAGUUUCCCAGGCCCUGAAAUUUUCUUUCACCCAGAGAAACACCAGUGGAAACAAAUCUAAAGAUGUCAUGCACUAGGGCCUGCUGUAAUGAUCCUUCAGUCCCCCAGCUGGGUCCUCAGUGAAGUACCAGAUACUGAUUAACAUGCCAAGUAUAAUGCCUGGCCCAGGAAGCUCAGGAGAUGAAUCAAAUAACUUGACCAUGAAGGAGCACUGAGGAGGAGGCAGAGAUGAUCUCUGGCAUGGUGUAUAAAAGAAAGCACUGGAGUUCUGGAGAGGUGAGGCAGAAUAUGAAGGUAAACAGGAAUCAUUAUUCCUUUUCUCAGAGGUAUGUAAUCUACAGGGGAAGCAUGCAGCACCUGAAAGGGGAGGAGAGGUUGGUGGGCCACGCAGGGUUGAAGGAGGAGCAUAGGAACAUGGGUCUGGGAAAGUUUGGCUAGCUUUACAGUGCUCAAUUGAAAUACUACUUUGCAAUAUUUUCUCAACACCAGGGUUCAAGUUUGUUAGUCCUACUGAGACAUCAGGUCAGAAGAAAAGAACAAAAGUGAGAAGGCAUUUAUGGCUUUGCAUUCUCAGAAAGUCAUCCUGCUGGUUCAGCUGUAGUUUUAACGUGAGCUCUCCUCGGGCCUGGGAGAAAUUCUGAGAAUGACCCCUGAGAAUGAGCUCAGUGGUGAGAAGUCCAAGGACAGGAUGAGGUCGACAUUGCAAGUGUUUUUGGAAUAAGAAUCAACACACUUAAAGACUGGGAUUUGGAAGUGAGAAGGAGUACAUGGAAGUGAUUCAGGAAGACAAGGAAAUGAGACACAAGUGGCAACAUUUGUCAAAGUUCUAUGCAUUUGUUCCUUUGGAUUCAAGUGAAACAUCUGGAGUCAAUUCUUAACCCAAUGUUGGUUUGUUCUCACCAACCUCUUUGCCCUGCUAUUGGAAAAUAUAUUACAUUUCUGUAUGUUAUAUGCCCACAAAUACAAUUAAAUGUAUACUGCUUUAUGAUUUUUAAACAAGAUAAGAAAGGAUAAGAAAUAGGCAAUUAUACUCCUUUAUAAUUGCAUAAUUACCUUUAUCAGUGUUCUUUGUUUUGUGUGUGUGUGUAUUCAAAUUACUGUCUUGGGUCACUUGCUUUCAGCCUGAAGAACUAACUUUAGUAUGUCUUGUAAGGUAGGUCUACUGGCAGCAGAUUCCUUCAGAUUUUGUUUUCCAAAUGUCUUUUUAUUUCAUCUUCAUUUUUAAAUGAUAAUUUUGCUGGAUAUAUGAUUCUUGAUUAAGAACUUUUAAAAUUUGAGGGCUGAGAAUAGGUUAUCCUAUUGCCUUCAGCCCUCUAUUGUUUCUGAUGAUAAGUCAACUGUUAAUCUUAUAGGAGUUUCCUUAAGCAAGAUGUCAUUUUCCUCUUGCUGCCUUCAAGAUUUUCUUUGGCAUUUUUACUAUGUGUCUAUUCAUGGGUC